rnacentral:rRNA from 1 species
GGGUUGUGAGGUUAAGCGACUAAGCGUACACGGUGGAUGCCCUGGCAGUCAGAGGCGAUGAAGGACGUGCUAAUCUGCGAUAAGCGUCGGUGAGGUGAUAUGAACCGUUAUAACCGGCGAUUUCCGAAUGGGGAAACCCAGUGUGUUUCGACACACUAUCAUUAACUGAAUCCAUAGGUUAAUGAGGCGAACCGGGGGAACUGAAACAUCUAAGUACCCCGAGGAAAAGAAAUCAACCGAGAUUCCCCCAGUAGCGGCGAGCGAACGGGGAGCAGCCCAGAGCCUGAAUCAGUGUGUGUGUUAGUGGAAGCGUCUGGAAAGGCGCGCGAUACAGGGUGACAGCCCCGUACACAAAAAUGCACAUGCUGUGAGCUCGAUGAGUAGGGCGGGACACGUGGUAUCCUGUCUGAAUAUGGGGGGACCAUCCUCCAAGGCUAAAUACUCCUGACUGACCGAUAGUGAACCAGUACCGUGAGGGAAAGGCGAAAAGAACCCCGGCGAGGGGAGUGAAAAAGAACCUGAAACCGUGUACGUACAAGCAGUGGGAGCACAGAGCAAUCUGUGUGACUGCGUACCUUUUGUAUAAUGGGUCAGCGACUUAUAUUCUGUAGCAAGGUUAACCGAAUAGGGGAGCCGAAGGGAAACCGAGUCUUAACUGGGCGUUAAGUUGCAGGGUAUAGACCCGAAACCCGGUGAUCUAGCCAUGGGCAGGUUGAAGGUUGGGUAACACUAACUGGAGGACCGAACCGACUAAUGUUGAAAAAUUAGCGGAUGACUUGUGGCUGGGGGUGAAAGGCCAAUCAAACCGGGAGAUAGCUGGUUCUCCCCGAAAGCUAUUUAGGUAGCGCCUCGUGAAUUCAUCUCCGGGGGUAGAGCACUGUUUCGGCAAGGGGGUCAUCCCGACUUACCAACCCGAUGCAAACUGCGAAUACCGGAGAAUGUUAUCACGGGAGACACACGGCGGGUGCUAACGUCCGUCGUGAAGAGGGAAACAACCCAGACCGCCAGCUAAGGUCCCAAAGUCAUGGUUAAGUGGGAAACGAUGUGGGAAGGCCCAGACAGCCAGGAUGUUGGCUUAGAAGCAGCCAUCAUUUAAAGAAAGCGUAAUAGCUCACUGGUCGAGUCGGCCUGCGCGGAAGAUGUAACGGGGCUAAACCAUGCACCGAAGCUGCGGCAGCGACGCUUAUGCGUUGUUGGGUAGGGGAGCGUUCUGUAAGCCUGUGAAGGUGUGCUGUGAGGCAUGCUGGAGGUAUCAGAAGUGCGAAUGCUGACAUAAGUAACGAUAAAGCGGGUGAAAAGCCCGCUCGCCGGAAGACCAAGGGUUCCUGUCCAACGUUAAUCGGGGCAGGGUGAGUCGACCCCUAAGGCGAGGCCGAAAGGCGUAGUCGAUGGGAAACAGGUUAAUAUUCCUGUACUUGGUGUUACUGCGAAGGGGGGACGGAGAAGGCUAUGUUGGCCGGGCGACGGUUGUCCCGGUUUAAGCGUGUAGGCUGGUUUUCCAGGCAAAUCCGGAAAAUCAAGGCUGAGGCGUGAUGACGAGGCACUACGGUGCUGAAGCAACAAAUGCCCUGCUUCCAGGAAAAGCCUCUAAGCAUCAGGUAACAUCAAAUCGUACCCCAAACCGACACAGGUGGUCAGGUAGAGAAUACCAAGGCGCUUGAGAGAACUCGGGUGAAGGAACUAGGCAAAAUGGUGCCGUAACUUCGGGAGAAGGCACGCUGAUAUGUAGGUGAGGUCCCUCGCGGAUGGAGCUGAAAUCAGUCGAAGAUACCAGCUGGCUGCAACUGUUUAUUAAAAACACAGCACUGUGCAAACACGAAAGUGGACGUAUACGGUGUGACGCCUGCCCGGUGCCGGAAGGUUAAUUGAUGGGGUUAGCGGUAACGCGAAGCUCUUGAUCGAAGCCCCGGUAAACGGCGGCCGUAACUAUAACGGUCCUAAGGUAGCGAAAUUCCUUGUCGGGUAAGUUCCGACCUGCACGAAUGGCGUAAUGAUGGCCAGGCUGUCUCCACCCGAGACUCAGUGAAAUUGAACUCGCUGUGAAGAUGCAGUGUACCCGCGGCAAGACGGAAAGACCCCGUGAACCUUUACUAUAGCUUGACACUGAACAUUGAGCCUUGAUGUGUAGGAUAGGUGGGAGGCUUAGAAGUGUGGACGCCAGUCUGCAUGGAGCCGACCUUGAAAUACCACCCUUUAAUGUUUGAUGUUCUAACGUGGACCCGUAAUCCGGGUUGCGGACAGUGUCUGGUGGGUAGUUUGACUGGGGCGGUCUCCUCCUAAAGAGUAACGGAGGAGCACGAAGGUUGGCUAAUCCUGGUCGGACAUCAGGAGGUUAGUGCAAUGGCAUAAGCCAGCUUGACUGCGAGCGUGACGGCGCGAGCAGGUGCGAAAGCAGGUCAUAGUGAUCCGGUGGUUCUGAAUGGAAGGGCCAUCGCUCAACGGAUAAAAGGUACUCCGGGGAUAACAGGCUGAUACCGCCCAAGAGUUCAUAUCGACGGCGGUGUUUGGCACCUCGAUGUCGGCUCAUCACAUCCUGGGGCUGAAGUAGGUCCCAAGGGUAUGGCUGUUCGCCAUUUAAAGUGGUACGCGAGCUGGGUUUAGAACGUCGUGAGACAGUUCGGUCCCUAUCUGCCGUGGGCGCUGGAGAACUGAGGGGGGCUGCUCCUAGUACGAGAGGACCGGAGUGGACGCAUCACUGGUGUUCGGGUUGUCAUGCCAAUGGCACUGCCCGGUAGCUAAAUGCGGAAGAGAUAAGUGCUGAAAGCAUCUAAGCACGAAACUUGCCCCGAGAUGAGUUCUCCCUGACUCCUUGAGAGUCCUGAAGGAACGUUGAAGACGACGACGUUGAUAGGCCGGGUGUGUAAGCGCAGCGAUGCGUUGAGCUAACCGGUACUAAUGAACCGUGAGGCUUAACCUUACAACGCCGAAG